rnacentral:rRNA from 1 species
UACGUAGGGGGCAAGCGUUGUCCGGAAUCAUUGGGCGUAAAGCGCGUGUAGGCGGCCCGGUAAGUCCGCUGUGAAAGUCGGGGGCUCAACCCUCGAAUGCCGGUGGAUACUGUCGGGCUAGAGUGCGGAAGAGGCGAGUGGAAUUCCUGGUGUAGCGGUGAAAUGCGCAGAUAUCAGGAGGAACACCGAUGGCGAAGGCAGCUCGCUGGGACGGUACUGACGCUGAGGCGCGAAAGCGUGGGGAGCAAACAGG